rnacentral:rRNA from 1 species
UACAGAGGGGGCAAGCGUUGUCCGGAUUUAUUGGGCGUAAAGAGCGUGUAGGCGGCCAGGUAGGUCUGCUGUGAAAACUCGAGGCUUAACCUCGAGCUGUCGGCGGAAACCAUCUGGCUAGAGUCCGGAAGAGGAGAAUGGAAUUCCCGGUGGUAGCGGUGAAAUGCGCAGAUAUCGGGGAAGAACACCCGUGGCGAAGGCGGUUCUCUGGGACGGUACUGACGCUGGAGACGCGAAAAGCG